CCCACUUUAUAAACCGUGUUCUACCGGAAGAAGCUGCAUAACGUUACAUGUUCGUGAAGUUGCAACCCGUAAUCACCAACAUUUGCUCUUAUUAAUAUGCACAGAACAGUGUUGCGACGUGAGAAGAUUGCCCUUCAGAGAUGACAUUCUGUUACUCUAAUAUUCAUUGCCUGUGUUCAAACCCACCAUGGAGCUUCAUGUGGUGGCCAUGUCUGCAACCACUUAUCUUUGGCAGUGCAGCAUGAAGUUACUGUAUAAGGAAAGUCCAUUCGUGAGUGCUGGCUGAACUUAAUUUUAAAGUGCAUUAGCCAUAAAAGGGAAGCCUCAAGACUCAAGAAGGACCAAGUGAACUACAUGAAUGGAGGGUGACGAGGCUAUUCUGACACUGGCCCUUGUGUGCACUCGCUUCAGAGACCUUGUGACGGGGGAAGCCUUAAGAAGACGAGCCCAUUUUCUUUGGCUUUACAGUGUCACAAAUUGGAGUGCUUUCUUUUCAUACUACAAGGCAGAGUUCUACAAAAUGUACAGACUGGAAACUUAUAUGCAGUGUGGAGACAUAUUCAAAAAUUUUAUUCCAGGAUAUGUAGGUCGAGGAAGAAGAAGGGAACUCGACACCCACCCAGGCUUCUGCAGCGAGUUCUGCCAAAUCUGUGCUGUCCUUCUUUGAGUGUUGUGUGCAUGUAGUGCAAUAGAUGCAAACUCCUCACC